rnacentral:lncRNA from 1 species
GGAGUCCUAGGUACCGGAGGGGUUGGGGUCCCCUCUGAAUCACCUGUGUGGGUCUCCUGAAAGUGUAAACCUUUGCCCUUGUAGAUACAGUUGCUUAAAGUUUCUAAAAAGUAUUGAUGUGAGGUCUAAUCAAAUGACUGCAGAAGUUGUUGAGUGCUUCUUGUCUAACUGUGUAUUUCUUGAACGAAUAUCACUGUUGGGUGCGGAGUUAGGUAACCUAAGAGUUGUUGGUUCAUCGAUUGCAUUGAAGCACUUAGAGCUGCAUGCUAUUUUGAAAGCGUUGAGAUCCAUGAUGCAAGCCUUGUUUCAUUGAUUUAUUAUGGACCCAAGAUAAACUUGCUUCUUAGGAAUGUAUCGCGGCUUACUGAGGUGUCUAUUAACUAUUACCCC